UUUUUCCUACGGGAGGCAGCAGUAGGGAAUUUUCGUCAAUGGGCGCAAGCCUGAACGAGCAAUGCCGCGUGAACGAGGAAGGUCUUCGGAUCGUAAAGCUCUGUUGAAGGGGAAAAAGAGCGGAGAGAGGAAAUGCUUUCUGAUUGAUAUUACCCUUCGAGGAAGUCACGGCUAACUACGUGCCAGCAGCCGCGGUAAUACGUAGGUGGCAAGCGUUAUCCGGAUUUAUUGGGCGUAAAGGGAACGCAGGCGGUCUUUUAAGUCUGAUGUGAAAGCCUUCGGCUUAACCGGAGGAGUGCAUUGGA
rnacentral:rRNA from 1 species